ensembl:lncRNA
GGCCUUCCAGACCAGUGGCUCUCUCUGAGGACCCAGCAUCAGUGAUCCUCCAGCGGGCUGCAAGAUAACUUCAAAUUAACUUGAAUAUAACCAUAUAAUCAUUACUUUUAUGAUUAAUAUGUUAAAAUAAAUUGCUUCGGAUCAGCCCAAGCUAUUUCUCAUCGCGAAAUACCCAACCGUUGCAGGAGUAUUUAAUACGCAAACUACAGCUCUCAUUUGGAUAAAGCAAACCAGAGUCACUGAUGAUGUUUAGAUAGAUGAUGACAGUAAGGUAAAGACCAUAACAGUGACAUACAGGAGCCGUACAUUAUGUCCAAACCGUGUAUGUGCGCUCUCCGUGCACUGAUCACUAUAACAUCAUAUUUCUGCAUGAUCCCAGUUCAAUAUAUUCAUGUAAAUGUCAAAAUAUAGUACUAUGCAUGUUUUAUAAUGGAUACUCCCCCCGAAGAAGCAUGUUUUCAAGGAGUUUGCGAGGAUCGGUGGUGUUAAUGUACAUAUGGGCAUCAGUCCUCAAUGGUCAUCGAGUUUCCACAGAUUCACAAUGGUUUUAUUUUUCAUAUAAAAUGUACAUUUAGAAAGCAUUUUGGUGUAUUCUAUUGGUUGUAUUAGAUUUUGCUUUAUUUCACAUCACAGCUAUUCAUGCUCUAUUGCCCUGUUUCACAGACAAGGCUUACGGCUAGUCCCAGACUAAAAUUAAUGUUUGAGUCUCAACUGACAAUAACUUGCCCUCACAUAUCUUUAAAGGUGUCAGUGCCAUUGUUUUGUCUCAAGACGCACACCAGUAAUGUUUUUUUCUAAUGCAUUUUUAUAAAAGCGCAUUAAAUAUCCUAAUUUAACUAAGGCAUAUGUCACGGGGUGACGAAAGAGAAGCGGAACUAAGUCCCGUUGGAAUUGUGUUCCCCCCGGGACGGUGUCGCGGUAACACCGGUCCACUUCCGGGUUGCGCCCGAUGUCACAAUAACAACGCUAAUGAUAGAUUGACAUCUGGUGUGGGGAGUUUGACGUGGCGAUCUGUGAGAGGAUUAUGGAGGCGGAGUAACCACAUAAAAAGAGAAGUGCAGAGACCAAAAGGGAGGGGAAUUUCUGGGACGUUUGGGCUGGCGUGUGGAGGUAUUCGAGGACUAUUGUGGGGUUUCGGCUAUCUGGCUGUGCAACAGUUAUAUCAGCGAUCGAGUGGAGAUAUUCGGGACAGAAAGAGUGUGAGUUCUGGAAAGCAAGUGGAGACCAGGCCGCGCCAUCACUAUCGGAGGGAAGUUAAGAGACCUGAUCUGGGACUUCGAUCAAUUGUAUACAUCUGGACUGGGAGUGAUAACGUGGUGAAGUGGACGGAGCCAUCGUUGGAUCGCAGGAUCCUCUGGGCUGAACGCCGCAUGUGAUGUCCCUAUGAAAGGAGGUGGACACAAGAAUUAUUCUUUUCCCGGUUACAACCGAAGCAUCUCCCAGCCGUAAGCCCCAUUACUUAUUCAAGAACACAUACUUACUGUUGGUUACUUACUCUGCUGUGCAGAUCGCAGGAUCCUCUGGGCUGAACGCCGCAUGUGAUGUCCCUAUGAAAGGAGGUGGACACACGAAUUAUUCCUUUCUCGGUCUUAACUGAAGCAUCUCCCAGCCGUAAGCCCAUCACCCAUUAAAGACUACAUACCUGCUGUCGAUUGCUUACUCUGCUGUGCAGAUCGUAGGAUCCCCUGGGACGAAUGCUGCAUGUGAUGUCCCUAUGAAAAGAGAUUGCAGGAUCCUCUGGGCUGGACGCUGCAUGUGAUGUCCCUGUAAAAGGAGGUGGACACGAGAAUUAUUCCUUUUCCCGGUCUCGACCGAAACAUCCACGAGCUCUACUUACCCGGAUAUCCCCCCCUCAUUCCGGGACGGGUGACAGACUAUCCUGGCUCUUGCCGGCCCCGUACAGGCACGAACUGCCGACGACUCCACGCCUCCCCGGCGUCCGAGGUCUGGCUUCGUUCUGGUCGGGAGACACUGAAGGAACACUGAACUUUUAAAUUGCUUUUAACCAAGUAAAACCUUGUUCAAUUUUUUUAUACUUUCGUCCGUCUGGUUCUUCUGGUACGCUCUCUGAGGUGAUCCUGGGUUUCAGGGGCGGGUGCAGUCCGGCUUGGCCCCCCCGACCUGUGACACAUAGUCCUGGCUCAAGCUAAGAAAUGUCCGUGAAGCCUAUCCCCUGGUUUCACAGACAAGGCUUAAGCCUAGUCCCAGACUAAAGUGUAAAUCUGAGCUGUUUUAACUGAAAGAAACUUGCACUGACUGAUCUUAUAAUAUAUCAGUGCCUUUGUCUCAAGAUGCACACCAGUAAUGUUUUUUUCUAAGGCAUGUUAAUAAAAAUUACUCAGAUGUCUUAAUUGAACUAUGG